UACGUAGGGUGCGAGCGUUGUCCGGGAUUAUUGGGCGUAAAGGGCUCGUAGGCGGUUUGUCGCGUCGGGAGUGAAAACUCAGGGCUUAACCCUGAGCCUGCUUCCGAUACGGGCAGACUAGAGGUAUGCAGGGGAGAACGGAAUUCCUGGUGUAGCGGUGAAAUGCGCAGAUAUCAGGAGGAACACCGGUGGCGAAGGCGGUUCUCUGGGCAUUACCUGACGCUGAGGAGCGAAAGUGUGGGGAGCGAACAGG
rnacentral:rRNA from 1 species